CGUGGACUUGCUUUUCUUCUUCCCAUCCCCCCUCCAUAACCUCAAGCAAACUCAAGGAAUUGUGCCAAAAGUCCCGUUGCUAGUUACCAAGUGCAUUUUUUUAAACGUCCCUUUGAUACUUCUUUCCCUCGUGCUUGCCAUGGAAUAUGCAAGGGCAAAAGGAGGGAAAUGAGGGGGAGAAGGAUGUUUUUUCUCUUUGCCGAGUCCAACAUUUGGCUUUUUCCAUUUGUGGCAGAUCACUGUAACGCUAUUGUAAAACAACUUCCUGCCCCUUUUGGCUCACGUUCCAGAAGCUGCUAGGCUAAGUUCAUAGCACAAACUUUUUUCCCCCUUGCCGAAGAAGAGAGACAAAAAAAAAUUUCCUGCAAAUUAUUUUCCCCCUUUUCUGGCUAAUGGACUCACAAGGUGAAUUUACUGCAGCUCUUUAAGAAUGUUACACAAGAGACGUCGGUAUCCCAGCUGGAUAAUUCAUAAGCUGAAAAGCUAAAUUAAUGCUGCAUUGGUAACAUACGGGAGGCAACGUGGCCAAUUAGACAGCAUGCUGGAUCGUCUCUUCCAUUCUCACCUCUAAUCCACUGGCCUGCUGGAUGAUCCCAAUUUUUGCUUUGUGCCUUGGUUUCCUCAUCUGUGGUGAUAUUGCUCACUGGGAUGCAGAUGUUGCCAUCAGUUACUCAGCCAGGAUGGAAGAAAAAGAGCAUGUGGAAGGGAGUGGUCUAGACUAAGACAUUUUCCCCUCUCAGCCCUCAGGCAGAAGCAGUUCUGAUGAAGCUGAACAUUGCUAGAGGUUCCAGAAGAAAAUAACAGGAAUAAGGCCAGGCACGGGGUCCAUGCGGAUCCAAGUCUUUGGUGCAGGGAGCUCAGCACCACAGACAAGCCCCACAGGGGCUGAAUGCAGUUAAAAUCAGCACUAGAUCACCCACCACACCAGCUGACUUUGAAAGGAGGAGCAGGAGUGCCAGACUCCAAAACCCAAAGUCCUACAGCAGCACAGUACAGGAGUUCUCUGCAUGGAUUAUAUGGGUGCAGAAGCAAAAGAGUGUCGUUCAAUUCUCAGAUAAUUUGUGCAAAAUAGCUAUUUUUGAAUCCACAACAAUACAUGCAGCUUUCUAGUCUCUAGCAACAUGAAUUAAUGCAUAAAGUGUGGCAAGCUGGGGUCUUAUUAUACCCAGCCUGCAUUCACAGUGGUAUGCUCUGCCCCUUCCCAUCUCUUCCAUUAGCCCUGUAUCCUCAAGCAUCAGGCACAAUGAGGAAGGCAGAUUCUUUGCUCUCCUCUUCAGGACAUUCGAGAAGUCACUUUCCCCAUUUGCAGGCUUCUUCAUAGCAGGAACCCACGCAUUUCAAAUGUUUUUAAAAGAAUCUGAACAGAUAAAUGAAAUUAAGAAUCCAAUAAAAAUAACAUUACUUUGCCUUAUUAUGUUCUGUUUGUGAAAAGAAUCACUUCCUUCUUCACCCACCACUCCUCUUCCUUGCUCCUAUGGUUUCUGAACUUUCCUCACCCCAGAAGGAAGACAGCGAGACUUACUGUCAUCAGGAAAACCAAAAGGAGAAAUCCUUCUUAGCAUACAUGUCCCACUGGGGAUCACAGGGUUUAGCCCAGAUGGCUCACAACAGAUUCCAACGUGGCCAAGCAUAAAGGAGAAACUUCCAAACCAUGUGUUUGCACCAUGAUGGGCGGUAUUCCCACUGCAGGUGGGUGAAAGACUGGCACUCAGUACAACUCUCUUUCACAUUUUCUCACCUGUCCACUUCUGUGCCUGAAACAAUCGAAUCUAAUAAUACUGUUUCCAGUGAUUGCUGUUUCCCAAAAUCUUAUAUUAAAGUAUUGAGCUUUUUGUUGUAUACCAGGAGUCAAAGAAAGAGCAGUGGAGUUAGAAAACCUUGACAGACAACAAGUUUAGAAAAGUCUGUGUCCAGAGCAAAAGUCACCUGGUGAAAAACAAAAAUGUACAGUAGGUAUUUAAGACAAGCUACCUGGAAAUACAGUACCAUAUUGUCACACUGUAUGUUUAUCAGAUCUUCCCGAUGACUUAAAUGGGAACACUCUGCUUUCAUGCAUGGAAGAUUAUGCAGGCAUAGCAUAUUCGUCAGAAAAAAGUCUCUAGACACAGAAGAAGUAGGUAGACAAGGGCAGUGUGAUGAGUAUUGAGAAAAGCUUUGCAAUGGAUUGAGGCAAAGAGGUACCUUUUCCGAAAAACAAAAGCAGUGAACUGAAACAACUAGAACAAAGAAUAUACUUAGAAAGUAAUAUUUAAAAAUGGAGAUUAGGAGCAUAAGGACUGAACCAAAGACAUAAGGACAAUUUAUUGACAUACAUCAGAAGCAGGAAGGCUGCACAACAGUUGUCUGGCAAGUCUGAAAUACUACUGGGAAACAAAGGGGGCGAAUAAAGAGGAGAAAAAACACUGCAGAAAAGAUAAUGGCUGAUUGUGAUCUUGAGAUAUUCAGUCAUGCAAAAGGGUAAACUCACCCUUUCUCACUCUGUAUGACCAUAUUAACAUUUCUUGUUAGCUGGGU